UGCUUAGGUCUGAUGUGAAAGCCUUCGGCUUAACCGAAGAAGUGCAUCGGAAACCGGGCGACUUGAGUGCAGAAGAGGACAGUGGAACUCCAUGUGUAGCGGUGGAAUGCGUAGAUAUAUGGAAGAACACCAGUGGCGAAGGCGGCUGUCUGGUCUGCAACUGACGCUGAGGCUCGAAAGCAUGGGUAGCGAACAGGAUUAGAUACCCUGGUAGUCCAUGCCGUAAACGAUGAGUGCUAGGUGUUGGAGGGUUUCCGCCCUUCAGUGCCGGANCUAACGCAUUAAGCACUCCGCCUGGGGAGUACGACCGCAAGGUUGAAACUCAAAGGAAUUGACGGGGGCCCGCACAAGCGGUGGAGCAUGUGGUUUAAUUCGAAGCUACGCGAAGAACCUUACCAGGUCUUGACAUCUUGCGCUANCCUUAGAGAUAAGGCGUUCCCUUCGGGGACGCAAUGACAGGUGGUGCAU
rnacentral:rRNA from 2 species